CUAAGUUUGAUGGCGACCGGCGCACGGGUGAGUAACACGUAUCCAACCUGCCGAUGACUCGGGGAUAGCCUUUCGAAAGAAAGGUUAAUACCCGAUGGCAUAGUUCUUCCGCAUGGUAGAACUAUUAAAGAAUUUCGGUCAUCGAUGGGGAUGCGUUCCAUUAGGUUGUUGGCGGGGUAACGGCCCACCAAGCCUUCGAUGGAUAGGGGUUCUGAGAGGAAGGUCCCCCACAUUGGAACUGAGACACGGUCCAAACUCCUACGGGAGGCAGCAUG
rnacentral:rRNA from 1 species